UGGGCUUUGGGGUUGUAGACAAGC
rnacentral:piRNA from 1 species